rnacentral:tRNA from 1 species
GGUGGCUCAGUGGUAGAGCGCUUGCCUCGCAUGCAUGAGGCCUUGGGUUCGAUUCCUCAGCACCA